rnacentral:rRNA from 1 species
CNGAUGGCGAAGGCAGCCCCCUGGGAUAACACUGACGUUCAUGCUCGAAAGCGUGGGUAGCAAACAGGAUUAGAUACCCUGGUAGUCCACGCCCUAAACGAUGUCAAUUAGCUGUUGGGCAACUUGAUUGCUUAGUAGCGUAGCUAACGCGUGAAAUUGACCGCCUGGGGAGUACGGUCGCAAGAUUAAAACUCAAAGGAAUUGACGGGGACCCGCACAAGCGGUGGAUGAUGUGGAUUAAUUCGAUGCAACGCGAAGAACCUUACCUGGUCUUGACAUGUACGGAAUCUCUCAGAGACGGGAGAGUGCCUUCGGGAGCCGUAACACCGGUGCUGCAUGGCUGUCGUCAGCUCGUGUCGUGAGAUGUUGGGUUAANNNNNNCANCGAGCGCAACCCUUGUCAUUAGUUGCCAUCAUUAAGUUGGGCACUCUAAUGAGACUGCCGGUGACAAACCGGAGGAAGGUGGGGAUGACGUCAAGUCCUCAUGGCCCUUAUGACCAGGGCUUCACACGUCAUACAAUGGUCGGUACAGAGGGUUGCCAAGCCGCGAGGUGGAGCCAAUCUCACAAAACCGAUCGUAGUCCGGAUUGCACUCUGCAACUCGAGUGCAUGAAGUCGGAAUCGCUAGUAAUCGCAGGUCAGCAUACUGCGGUGAAUACGUUCCCGGGUCUU